rnacentral:tRNA from 1 species
UCCCCCGUGGUGUAGCGGCAGCACACCUGACUUUGGAUCAGGAAGCCUUGGUUCGAACCCAAGCGGAGGAGCCA